CCAGUCGUGCUUCUAUAUGGGGCAACAACUCCUUACGUGAAGAAACCAAUCGUCCUCCUAGAUGGGGCAACAACUCCUUAACUGAAGAGACCAGUCGUGCUCCUAGAUGGGGCAAUGCUUCAGCACCUGAAAAUACCCCUCGUACUGGAAGGCUGCGCUGGAGAAAUCAAAGAUGGCCAACAAAUAACAGGCGGUGACUGCGGCAGACUAUUCUGAGAUCGAACAGCCGCAGUAGCAUCUUCAGAUUACGUCUCUGCUCAGUUGCAGAUCGAACUGCCGCAGUAGCAUCUUCAGAUUACGUCUCUGCUCAGUUGCGGAUCGUGUCGGACUGUUUAAGAAGAAGAAGCAUUGAAUGAACUGCGAAGGCAUGAAGUUUCAUUUUGCCUGACAAUGUUAAAGGGCCUCGAGAACUCUCUUUUUUUUUUUCCCCUCUUGUUUGAUUCAUUGUUAGAUUGUGUUAGCACGGUUGAGUACUAUGUUAGUUAUGGUUUCGGUUUAUGAGGAUGUUUCUGUACACAGGGUCGCUUUAUAUUUCUGGUUUUCUACUUUUUCGCCAAACUUUUUUCAAAUAAUUUAUGAAAAGAAUUAUUGAAUCA